AUUGAACGCUGGCGGCAGGCUUAACACAUGCAAGUCGAGCGGAGAUGAGGUGCUUGCACCUUAUCUUAGCGGCGGACGGGUGAGUAAUGCUUAGGAAUCUGCCUAUUAGUGGGGGACAACAUUCCGAAAGGAAUGCUAAUACCGCAUACGUCCUACGGGAGAAAGCAGGGGAUCUUCGGACCUUGCGCUAAUAGAUGAGCCUAAGUCGGAAUAGCUAGUUGGUGGGGUAAAGGCCUACCAAGGCGACGAUCUGUAGCGGGUCUGAGAGGAUGAUCCGCCACACUUGGACUGAGACACGGCCCAGACUCCUACGGGAGGCAGCAGUGGGGAAUAUUGGACAAUGGGGGAACCCUGAUCCAGCCAUGCCGCGUGUGUGAAGAAGGCCUUAUGGUUGUAAAGCACUUUAAGCGAGGAGGAGGCUACUGAGACUAAUACUCUUGGAUAGUGGACGUUACUCGCAGAAUAAGCACCGGCUAACUCUGUGCCAGCAGCCGCCGUAAUAC
rnacentral:rRNA from 1 species